rnacentral:rRNA from 1 species
UACGAAGGGGGCGAGCGUUGUUCGGAAUUACUGGGCGUAAAGGGCGCGUAGGCGGAUUGUACAGUCAGGCGUGAAAUUCCCGGGCUCAACCUGGGGGCUGCGCUUGAGACGUGCGAUCUUGAGUGGGGAAGAGGGUCGUGGAAUUCCCAGUGUAGAGGUGAAAUUCGUAGAUAUUGGGAAGAACACCGGUGGCGAAGGCGGCGACCUGGUCCUUGACUGACGCUGAGGCGCGAAAGCGUGGGGAGCAAACAGG